GACGAACGCUGGCGGCGUGCUUAACACAUGCAAGUCGAACGGAAAGACCCUGCUUUUGUGGGGUGCUCGAGUGGCGAACGGGUGAGUAACACGUGAGUAACCUGCCCUUGACUUUGGGAUAACUUCAGGAAACUGGGGCUAAUACCGGAUAGGAGCUCCUGCUGCAUGGUGGGGGUUGGAAAGUUUCGGCGGUUGGGGAUGGACUCGCGGCUUAUCAGCUUGUUGGUGGGGUAGUGGCUUACCAAGGCUUUGACGGGUAGCCGGCCUGAGAGGGUGACCGGCCACAUUGGGACUGAGAUACGGCCCAGACUCCUACGGGAGGCAGCAGUGGGGAAUAUUGCACAAGGGGCGGAAGCCUGAUGCAGCAACGCCGCGUGCGGGAUGACGGCCUUCGGGUGGUAAACCGCUUUCGCCUGUGACGAAGCGUGAGGGACGGUAAUGGGUAAAGAAACACCGGCUAACUACGU
rnacentral:rRNA from 1 species